CUGCAUGAAACACGACCAUUGGAUGCGGCCAAAACCACCCACCUUCCCAUCACCUUCAACCAGCGAGGAUGAUAGCUCCUCCUCCUCCUCUCUCUCUGCUCGCAAAUUCCUAGUGCAGCAAGUUUCGUAACAAUUUUUGACUACUGGAAAGAGAAGAACCCUAUUUGUAACACCUAAUAAGCGAUCUCUUAAAUGUACAACACCUAAAUAUAGUUCUGAGGUAGGUGCCCCAUUACUGUCACAAUAAAAUCUUAUAAACCAUGUCAUAAGGAACGACUGAAACACCAUGCAACUCCUAUCUACUGUCUUCAUCAUAAAAUUAAUCUUAUUCAUAUCGAUAUCCAAAGUGGAACAAAAGGAAAAACUUUAAAAGGAAAAUUAAAAAGAACUAUCUUACAUCCACUAAACCCUAUAGAUCUGACCCUAUUCGACAACAGAGAGAGA
rnacentral:lncRNA from 1 species